GGCGCAGCAAGUUCUCCAGAUUGGACGAUGGCAUCUUUUGGUGGGGUUAAUGGCUUGCCAUAGAAAAAGGUGUUUUCAUGAUCUCUUCGUAAAGGAUUCAAUUAAAUACGUGAAAUUCAUGUAUAAAAUUUUGAGGUGGGGUUAAUGGCUUGCCAUAGAAAAGGUGUUUUAUGUUCUCUCUGCAAACCAUUGAAUUAAAUACGUGAUGCUAUCAAAUUCAUGUAUAAAAUUUUGAGGUGGGGUUAAUGGCUUGCCAUAGAAAAGGUGUUUUCAUGUUCUCCUUGUAAAGGAUUCAAUUAAAUAUGUGAUGCUAUGAAAUUCAUGUAUAAAAUUUUGAGGUGGGGUUAAUGGCUUGCCAUAGAAAAAGGUGUUUUAUGUUCUCUCUGCAAACCAUUGAUAUAAAUACGUGAUGCUAUGAAGUUCAUGUAUAAAAUUUUGAGGUGGGGUUAAUGGCUUGCCAUAGAAAAAGGUGUUUUCAUGUUCUCUUCGUAAAGGAUUCAAUUAAAUACGUGAAAUUCAUGUAUAAAAUUUUGAGGUGUUUUAUGUUCUCUCUGCAAACCAUUGAUAUAAAUACGUGAUGCUAUGAAGUUCAUGUAUAAAAUUUUGAGGUUGGGUUAAUGGCUUGCCAUAGAAAAAGGUGUUUUAUGUUCUCUUCGCAACCAUUGAAUUAAAUACGUGAUGCUAUGAAAUUCAUGUAUAAAAUUUUGAGGUGGGGUUAAUGGCUUGCCAUAGAAAAGGUGUUUUCAUGUUCUCCUUGUAAAGGAUUCAAUUAAAUACGUGAUGCUAUGAAAUUCAUGUAUAAAAUUUUGAGGUGUUUUAUGUUCUCUCUGCAAACCAUUCAAUUAAAUACGUGAUGCUAUCAAAUUCAUGUAUAACAUUUUGAGGUGGGGUUAAUGGCUUGCCAUAGAAAAAGGU